AUUGAACGCUGGCGGCAGGCCUAACACAUGCAAGUCGAACGGUAUCAGGGAUCAGCUUGCUGAUUCGCUGACGAGUGGCGGACGGGUGAGUAAUGUCUGGGAAACUGCCUGAUGGAGGGGGAUAACUACUGGAAACGGUAGCUAAUACCGCAUAACGUCGCAAGACCAAAGAGGGGGACCUUCAGGCCUCUUGCCAUCGGAUGUGCCCAGAUGGGAUUAGCUAGUAGGUGGGGUAACGGCUCACCUAGGCGACGAUCCCUAGCUGGUCUGAGAGGAUGACCAGCCACACUGGAACUGAGACACGGUCCAGACUCCUACGGGAGGCAGCAGUGGGGAAUAUUGCACAAUGGGCGCAAGCCUGAUGCAGCCAUGCCGCGUGUAUGAAGAAGGCCUUCGGGUUGUAAAGUACUUUCAGCGGGGAGGAAGGGAGUAAAGUUAAUACCUGUGCUCAUUGACGUUACCCGCAGAAGAAGCACCGGCUAACUCCGUG
rnacentral:rRNA from 1 species